UAGGGAAUUUUCGUCAAUGGGCGCAAGCCUGAACGAGCGAUGCCGCGUGAGUGAAGAAGGCCUUCGGGUCGUAAAGCUCUGUUGCGGGGGAAAAAAUGGCAGCAUCAGGAAAUGGGUGCUGACUGAUGGUGCCCCGCCAGAAAGUCACGGCUAACUACGUGCCAGCAGCCGCGGUAAUACGUAGGUGGCAAGCGUUAUCCGGAAUGAUUGGGCGUAAAGGGUGCGCAGGCUGCGCGUCAAGUCUGAAGUGAAAGGUACGGGCUUAACCGGUACAGGCUUUGGAAACUGGCACGCUAGAGGACAGGAGAGGGCGGUGGAACUCCAUGUGUAGCGGUAAAAUGCGUAGAUAUAUGGAAGAACACCAGUUGCGAAGGCGACCGCCUGGACUGUUGCUGACGCUCAGGCACGAAAGCGUGGGGAGCAAAUAGGAUUAGAUACC
rnacentral:rRNA from 1 species